rnacentral:tRNA from 1 species
GUCCCUGUAGCGCAAUGAAUAGCGCAUUGGAUUUCUAAUCCAAAGGUCGUGGGUUCGAAUUCCACUUAGGAUG